AUUGAACGCUGGCGGAAUGCUUUACACAUGCAAGUCGAACGGUAGAGGGGGCAACCCCUUGAGAGUGGCGAACGGGUGAGUAAUAUAUCGGAACGUGCCCAGUCGUGGGGAUAACGUAGCGAAAGUUACGCUAAUACCGCAUACGAUCUAAGGAUGAAAGCGGGGGAUCGCAAGACCUCGCGCGAUUGGAGCGGCCGAUAUCAGAUUAGGUAGUUGGUGGGGUAAAGGCUCACCAAGCCAACGAUCUGUAGCUGGCCUGAGAGGACGACCAGCCACACUGGAACUGAGACACGGUCCAGACUCCUACGGGAGGCAGCAGUGGGGGAAUUUUGGACAAUGGGCGAAAGCCUGAUCCAGCCAUGCCGCGUGUGUGAAGAAGGUCUUCGGAUUGUAAAGCACUUUAAGUUGGGAGGAAGGGUAGUAACCUAAUACGUUGCUACUUUGACGUUACCGACAGAAUAAGCACCGGCUAACUUCGUGCCAGCAGCCGCGGUAAAGUGACU
rnacentral:rRNA from 1 species